GGCGGGGCAUGGGGGCUUCUUGGUUGGUUGCAUUUGUAAAUGGGGCGGUCCCCCUUCUCCCUUUCCCUUCUCUUUUCCACCACACUCCGAAAAUAAAAAGGGGAACCCGAACGGCAAAAGAUUCGUUUGCAACAUUGCGUUUCACAGAGACUUGGCACGACUCAAUAUGCAAAUGAGUGUUUUAUGCGACGUCGCUGUGCGGCGCCGCCACGCUGAAUCGUCUCUCAAUUCGAAGCGCUCUUCUUGCACUUCGCGAAGAAGAACGAACCAAGGAUGAUGGUGGUUGUGGUGGUGGACGAAGAGGACAGAAAAAGAGUAAGAAGAAG
ensembl:ncRNA F13D11.18 ncRNA